CGGCGGUGACGCGGGCUUGGCGCCGUGGGAGACGCUGGCGUGGAAGGCGAGGUCGGCGUCGGCGACUUGGAUGGCGACGGCGCGGACGGCGAGGCCGUGUUUGGCGGAGAAGGCGCGGGAGGCGGAGUGGUCGAAGCUGGGGAUGGAGGCGGAGGAGGUGGGCCCAGAGAGAGAAGGGGAGUAAGGGGCGGAGAAGAGGAAGGAGAGGUCGGCGGAGCGGAGGAGGUAGGAGGCGUGGGAGUGGUUGCCGGUGGAGAGGUCAGACUUGGCGACCAAGGGCAUGCCGAGGCCCCAGGAGAAGCGGAGGGCGGUGUUGGUGGCGUCGGUGCACCAGAACUCGAUGUGGUGGAAGCGGGUGACGGCGAACCGGUCGGAGCGGGGGUUGGAGCGGACGAAGUUGGAGAAUCCGACGAGGUUGAACUGGGUCGUCUCGGUUUGGUGGCCCAUUGUGGUGUGCUGACUGUGGUGAGGUCCGUGAGGAGGGUAUACUGGUAUGGUACCUAUAGUAGUAGUGACUGAGAGGGUGGACUUUUGGAGGGAAGCGGUGGGGACACGUAGACGUGGAUUGGGGUUUUAUCUUGUGUGGGGACACGUGGCGGGGUAUGGGUGGAGGGGGAGGAGGGGUUUUGAGUGACGCAACUCCAUACCGGCUAGGGGAUCAUGGAGGAGGAAAAACUGAAGUUUGGGACUUGUGUGUGUUUGGGGUUUUCCUGAGAGGGAAAGGAUAGAAUACGGGGAGAACGAAUGCGAUGGUUUUCUAUUGAGACGUGUGG
rnacentral:lncRNA from 1 species